UUUAACUAACCAACCCAAAGAGAAUAAAUUUAACCAUUAAGGAAUAACAACAAUCUCCAUGAGUUGGUAGUUUCGGUUGGGGUGACCUCGGAGAAUAAAAAAUCCUCCGAGCGAUUUUAAAGACUAGACCCACAAGUCAAAUCACUCUAUCGCUCAUUGAUCCAAAAACUUGAUCAACGGAACAAGUUACCCUAGGGAUAACAGCGCAAUCCUAUUCAAGAGUCCAUAUCGACAAUAGGGUUUACGACCUCGAUGUUGGAUCAGGACAUCCUGAUGGUGCAACCGCUAUCAAAGGUUCGUUUGUUCAACGAUUAAAGUCCUACGUGAUCUGAGUUCAGACCGGAGUAAUCCAGGUCGGUUUCUAUCUAUUACGUAUUUCUCCCAGUACGAAAGGACAAGAGAAAUAAGGCCAACUUUAAAUCAAGCGCCUUAAGACAACCAAUGAUAACAUCUCAACUGACAACACAAAACCCUGCCCUAGAACAGGGCUUA
rnacentral:rRNA from 1 species